rnacentral:tRNA from 1 species
GAGGGUAUAGCUCAGCAGUGGAGUGCAUGGCUGGCAUUUAGGAGGUCCUGGGUUCAAUCCCCAGCACCUCCG